rnacentral:lncRNA from 1 species
CAUUACUUUAAUGUAACUCCUUCCUUUAUGUAAUGACAGAGAAUAUUCUUUUUUUUUUCCCCAGGAAGAGCAUAAUUUCAAGGUUACAUUUGUGUUCUGGGCACAAAUAAAGGCAGCUUAACAUCUUGGUCUUUUUUUUCUGGAAGUCAUUUAUUUGUAACACAGAUGAGGACACUAUACUUCUCUCCCUUCAGAAGAAAAGUGAGUUACUCUGGAUAUGCAUUGUCAGAUGUAUUCCCUGUGCUGCUCCACAGGCCACCGCACCAUCAGGGCAGGAGAGCAGGAAAAGAGAAAUCCAAUCAUGUUCUCAUAGACCUCUCAGCAUGGGCUUGACUUGCUCAUUAGCCAGUAUCAGGAGUUUCACAGUCUUCAACAUGAGAGAAGUUG